CCCCGGGUCUUGUACACACCGCCCGUCACACCAUGGGAGCGGGAUGUACCAGAAGUAGGUAGGCUAACCCGCAAGGGGGCCGCUUACCACGGUGCGUUUCGUGACUGGGGUG
rnacentral:rRNA from 1 species